AUGGUCCUCGUCGUACUCGCCACCUUGUCCUAUGGCCUCCCCGCCGCCCGCAGCGACAUCGACUUCAUCGCCCGCACAUGCAAGAAGACCACUAACCCCGCGUUGUGUGUGGCUGUGCUAAGCGCCGACCCAAAGAGCAGCCACGCGUCCACCGAGCAUGACCUCGCCAGCGUCGCCCUGCAAAUCGCCACCAGCACCGCCAAGAAGAACGCUGCAGUCAUCUGUGACCUAGGCGCUUCAACGGUGGGCAAUAUGCCGAGACACUCAUCUCCGGUGGCCGACAUGGAUCGCGAGACGACGGAGCGGUGCGGCGUUGCGGGCGACCUCAUCGGCCUGCUCAUCACCAAGUGA
rnacentral:rRNA from 1 species